UCCCCAGGGCAGUAGGAAUUGAUAUCUC
rnacentral:piRNA from 2 species